rnacentral:rRNA from 1 species
UCGGAGCGUGUGGUUUAAUUCGACGAUACGCGAAGAACCUUACCUGGGUUUGACAUCAAGGUAGUAGCAAGGUGAAAGCUGCGCGACCCUUCGGGGAGCCUCGACAGGUGCUGCAUGGCUGUCGUCAGCUCGUGUCGUGAGGUGUUGGGUUAAGUCCCGCAACGAGCGCAACCCUCGUCGUUAGUUACAAGUGUCUAACGAGACUGCUGGUUUCAAACCGGAGGAAGGUGGGGAGGACGUCAAGUCAGCAUGGUCUUUAUA